ACUGGGAAGAGGAGCUGAGGUGCUGUGAAGAAAGCUCCUCACGUCUUCUCUCCCUUCC
rnacentral:pre_miRNA from 1 species